CCUUAGAGUUUGAUCCUGGCUCAGGACGAACGCUGGCGGCGCGCCUAACACAUGCAAGUCGAACGAGAGAGAGGGAGCUUGCUUCCUCAAUCGAGUGGCGAACGGGUGAGUAACGCGUGAGGAACCUGCCUCAAAGAGGGGGACAACAGUUGGAAACGACUGCUAAUACCGCAUAAGCCCACAGGUCGGCAUCGACCAGAGGGAAAAGGAGCAAUCCGCUUUGAGAUGGCCUCGCGUCCGAUUAGCUAGUUGGUGAGGUAACGGCCCACCAAGGCAACGAUCGGUAGCCGGACUGAGAGGUUGAACGGCCACAUUGGGACUGAGACACGGCCCAGACUCCUACGGGAGGCAGCAGUGGGGAAUAUUGCACAAUGGGGGAAACCCUGAUGCAGCGACGCCGCGUGGAGGAAGAAGGUCUUCGGAUUGUAAACUCCUGUUGUUGAGGAAGAUAAUGACGGUACUCAACAAGGAAGUGACGGCUAACUACGUGCCAGCAGCCGCGGUAAAACGUAGGUCACAAGCGUUGUCCGGAAUUACUGGGUGUAAAGGGAGCGCAGGCGGGAAGACAAGUUGGAAGUGAAAUCUAUGGGCUCAACCCAUAAACUGCUUUCAAAACUGUUUUUCUUGAGUAGUGCAGAGGUAGGCGGAAUUCCCGGUGUAGCGGUGGAAUGCGUAGAUAUCGGGAGGAACACCAGUGGCGAAGGCGGCCUACUGGGCACCAACUGACGCUGAGGCUCGAAAGUGUGGGUAGCAAACAGGAUUAGAUACCCUGGUAGUCCACACCGUAAACGAUGAUUACUAGGUGUUGGAGGAUUGACCCCUUCAGUGCCGCAGUUAACACAAUAAGUAAUCCACCUGGGGAGUACGACCGCAAGGUUGAAACUCAAAGGAAUUGACGG
rnacentral:rRNA from 1 species